UAGGGGAAUCUUCCACAAUGGACGAAAGUCUGAUGGAGCAACGCCGCGUGAGUGAAGAAGGGUUUCGGCUCGUAAAACUCUGUUGUUGAAGAAGAACAUAUCUGAGAGUAACUGUUCAGGUAUUGACGGUAUUUAACCAGAAAGCCACGGCUAACUACGUGCCUG
rnacentral:rRNA from 1 species